AUAUUGCAAACACUGUACUUAUACUGCAGGUUAUAAAUAUGGAGCUUUAUUGCUUUUACAGUCUUGACAGUGCUAUACAAGGAAUAGUCAUCCUGGCUUUUAAUACUAGUUAUUCUUCACCUUCAGGAACUGAUACAUUUGGAAGAAAGAUUAGGAAAUGUCAAUCGUGGAGCAUCCCAGGAGACAAUUGAAAGAUGUACAUAUCCACAUAAAUACCAAAAGGGGGAACUGCACUUCCAACAAGAUGGGGAAGAAGGGACUGAGGAAGACACAGAGGAGAAAUGUACUAUCUGUUUGUGUAUUUUAGAGGAAGGUGAAGAUGUGAGACGUCUUCCUUGUAUGCACAUUUUCCACCAAGUGUGUAUUGACCAAUGGUUGAUUACCAGUAAGAAGUGCCCCAUAUGCAGAGUGGACAUUGAAGCCCAGCCACCAAGUGAAGGUUGACACCGUGUUUCAGAACUGUUGCCCUCCCUCUCAUUCCCACCCUCCUGGUAUUGCAGUCAACCAAAGAUGGCAUGACUUACCUGCGCA